GGAGAGGAGAGGAGGACAGGAGAGGAGGUGGAGGUCAAGCGUCAACCUUCUCUAUUAAAAGAGAGGAGAGGAGGAGAGAUGAAAGGAGAGGAGGUGGAGGGCAAGUGUGAACCUUUUCUUUAAAAAGAGAGGAGAGGAAGAGAGGAGAGGAGGAGAGAGGAGGAGGAGGUCCAGUGUGAACCUUCUCUUGCAAAAGAGAGGAGAGGAGGAGAGAGGAGGAGAGAUAAGAGGAGAGGAGAGGAGAGAGGAAAAGAGAGGAGAGGAGGAGAUUUGGUUUUCAAAGUCGCUUGAUUGAACCAUUGCAGGGAGACACCAGAUCACUGUCACAUCAUCAGUUCAGACUAGCAAAAACAACUCAUCCAAGAGCAGAAAAAAGUUUUAACUUAUCAGGAAUUAACGAUCAACUCUCCCUCCUCCACGGGGGAGUAAACCCCCCCCAACAGCUGGGAAACAUCUGGACCAAAGAACUCAGUCCACCUUGACUCCUUCAUCUCUGCUAAAGAGAGCAAGUUCAGAACCUUAAUUGAAAAUAAAACAUGUUUUUAAAGUCAUUGUUAGCUCUGUAAUGGUGUUAUUCAGUGAAAUAAA